ensembl:lncRNA
CUGUAUAGUGUGUCUGCUAAUGGAAAAUCAGAGUGAGUGCUGCUCACCAGCGUGUUCCAUGCAGGUUGGAGCUCUGAUCACACAGCAAACACAGGAGGCAUGAUAAACACUCUUUGGACAGUGGAUGCUAUUAUCAUGAGAAAAUCCGUUGUGUAAGUCAUAUAAUCUAUUGUGGGAUACUAGGUAAAAUGAACAAAUAUUAUUGAAUAAAUUAAUAUAUUAAGGUUAUCGAGGAGCACAUUGUUUCAUUGUGUCCCUGCUCACUGGUGAUAUACAUUGCCCUUUUGGUCUGAAAAAGAAAUCCAUUAUCAUGAGCAAUACAAUUGCACUUCUUGGGCAAAGGCAAAUUAAAUGAAAGAUUAUUGUCAAAGGUCUAACAAAUUAGCACAAAUAGUCUGUAUUGUGUGUGGACACUGGUCCCAUUAAUCUUGGUGUCCAAUCAAUUUUCAUAAUAAAGUAAUCUAAAAGCCUACAUUAUAUAUUGACAUGAGGAAAGGCUAAUCAAGCCUGACCACAGCAUAAUUCCAUGCCAACACAGUUGUGCUCUUCAUCUCAUUCACUCACCCUUUUUUCUUUCUCACCCUUUAACCCUUUUGGGUUUUCCAUCAGCCAGCACUUUGCUUGUCACUGUUUGCUUGUGAGUUCAGUGACAUGUGACUGGCCACGUGUCAGAUCCUGUAUUUCAAGUGGACUGCCCUGGAGGUGGAAUAUGCUUUUCUUUCUUCUUCUUCUACCCCUGAUAUGAACCAGCCAGGGUCGGCAUCCCCCCACCUGUCAAAUCAGUUAUUGUGCCCCCCACCACCACCCCACCCACCCGAAGGACAAGCCUUUGGCACCAAACUUAAUUCAUAUUUAAAUUCAUUUAGAUUUAUAUUUUAAAUUAAUUUAGAUUUAUCAUAUUGAAAUUGAAAACCGUAAGUGAAAAUUUAAUUCUUUAAGAUUGGAUUAUAUAGCAUGAAAUUGUAAAAUUGGUGUUGAUUGUUGAAGGCAAAUUGAUAUUUUCAAGCAUUUGCAUACGGUAAUACAUUGAGUUCUCAAAUGGAAGUCCCCCCCGCAAUUAGAUUUAUUCUGAUGCCGAGUCUGUUACCAGCCCAAGCCCAUAUUCCUCUGAUAUUUCAGGGUCCUCAGGUCCUCCUGGACCUUCACAACAAGAGAUGAGACAUGGUUUGCAGCAGCUAAGUGGAAUGAUUUCAUGUCUGAAAAAAUGCAACACAAAACAAAUCCCACGUGUCACAUCACACAUUUUCACUGGCCAGUAAAUAAAGUCAUUCUUUCAGUCUUUUUUAUAUAACAUCGUCAUUUCAUUUCACUUGGAUUUCCCAGAGUGCACAACCAACAUUUUCUUCCUCUAAUCAGGCAACACCUUCACCAAUGUCGCUGUGAUGGCUGGUUCCAAGUUGCUGCUACUUCAGCUUUGACUCUUUAAUUAUUCAUGUUUUUCAGGGGGAGAGGGAGGGCUUGAAUCUCUCGAAUCAUCAAAAUACAAUUAUAAAUCAGCAAGUUCUCAACCCCCGCCCUGUCUUACAUAAGGAGGGAGAGGGCUUGUGGUCAGACAGAGUCAGUGAAAUGGGGAUGAAGGUGAAAUGCGUUUUAAUGGCAUGUUUCUGUUGCAAACGCGACUGCUGAGCUGGAGACUUUCAGUUGGGCUGCUCUAAAAGACAUUCAGAGCUGUCGGCCAGCGUUAGUGUCGGUGGCUGAACCGCGUCAGAGAGAGCAAUGAUUUUCUGAGGUGUUUAUUUUUUUAAAUCUGAGAUCAUCAUCUGAUUAAUAAUGCAAUACUGAUAAAAUAGUUUACACAGUUAAGAGCAUUGACCAUGACUUAGAGAUAAAAAUCUUAUUUUCUUACAGUUACAGUUAUCACAGUUAGCAUGGUCUAGAAAAGAGUGCAUGGUUGCAGCUGUGAAAAGGUCUGAUUAAAAGUUUCAACUGAAAAGAUUUUAUUGAUACCUAAUUUAUAUAUAUUUUUAUAUAUAUAACCAAUACAUUUUUAUUUUGUAUCUAUUUUUUUAUUAUAGAAUAUAAAGAAAUCUAUAGGCUUUUGGCCACUAAAUCAGACAACAGUCAAUAUCACAGAAUGAGUCAAAAGGAUAGGUAGGAAUGACAGUAUUUGAUAUUGUGAGCAGGUUGGUUUUCUCUUGAAGGCUUACAUACUGUACUGCAUGUAUGUAGAUUUGAACAAUAAGGCAUUAUCUUAGCUUGUCUCUGUUGCAACGUCAUUCUGAAUUAUGAUUACUGCAAGUGAGUCUGUAUGAAAAGCUGAAAAAUCCAUUUAGUGCAUUCAUUUAUAUUUGUGUUUAUAACAAAAUCACUGUAAGAGUGACAAUCAUAGCAAAAAUAAUAGUAUAAAAAUGCACAGGUAGUGUAAAAACACAAUAUUAAAUGAACAUGAUCAUGAUUCAAGAAAGGUAAAUAAGCCAUGUUCAUAUUAUUGUAAUGUGCAUGGCAGGACAUCACAUUUGAUUGUCCCUUUAAUUUCAGAUGCAAGGGUGAAGUCCAUCAUUGUUGUGCCUCAAAUAUCAAGAGAGAACUGUCGACAAAAAAACGGUGUAACCAACCCAUACAGUUCAGUUUUGAUGGUCCCUGAAGUUGAAAUAGUAUUUAAAGCCCUACAGAUGUGAGAAUAAUUAUCCAGCUUCCAUACUUUCAAAGGAAGGACACCUGUUAUGAGGGGUCUUGUUUAGAGGAAUGUGGGAAAGUGUGGGGAAGGGGUGUAAUGGUGGUCGACCAGUUUCAGUUUUUUUCCCCUUGGGGGAUUGAACGUUCCCUCUGAAAAAGCAGGGUGACGCCCUUACGGAAGCGUUGGUCCCUGACACUGUAGAUGACAACGUUGCAGCAGCUGUUGCCAGCCAGAAUCCAGAACGCAAAGAAGGAGAAGUUGCACCACGCGUAGCCCACCACGUUGCCCAGCACGAACACGGCGAUGGGCGAGAAGGAGGCAGUGAACGCGAACGUCAGGAUGCCGAUGGUCUUGGCCGCCUUGAUGUCGGAGAAGGAUGGCCGGUGUUGGCACCAGCCCCCUCCCCCUCCUCCCCCACUGUCCCCGCCCAGGCUGCCCUCAGCCAGCAGCUUGCGCUUGCGCGAGUAGCGUCGGAUGCUGGUGAAUGAGACGAUGUUGACGACCAGUGUGCCCCCCAACAGUGUAAAGUCGAAGGCGGGGAAGAGGAGCAUGACAUGGGCGUCGGACGGCUGCGGCAGCGACACAUCCCACAGCGGUGCGUAGUUGCACAUGCGGCUGCACGGGUUGUACUCCAGCGUGAAGCUGCGGCUCAGCACCAGAGGCGCCACGGCCAGCAGAAAGCUGCCCGCCCAGGAGAGCAGGAUGAGCAUCAGCGAGCGCCGCCGUGUCACCACCGCGUCCUUGUGCAGCGGCCACAGGAUGGCCACGCUGCGCUCCACCGUCAUCAGGAAGAUGGUGCUGAUGGAAACAAAGGUGCAGCCAGCGAACACGGGCCCGAUCAGCAUGCACGGCUGCCAGGACACAGACAGGUUCCCGCCACCGCUGCCGGUGCUGCCGCCGUGGUUAUGAUCCGCCGCGUCCAUGGGUGCCGCUGAGGACUGGUACCACACUGGAGGAGUGCUGGUCACCAUGAGUGAGAUCUCAGUGUAGACAGAAAAGGGGACGACCAAGACGCCGACUAACAUGUCAGCGAUGGCC